rnacentral:rRNA from 1 species
UAUAUGGGGUGCAAACGUUGCUCGGAAUUAUUGGGCGUAAAGCGCACGUAGGCGGUUCGUUAAGUCGGAUGUGAAAGCCCUCGGCUCAACUGAGGAAGUGCACCCGAAACUGGCGAGCUUGAGUACGAAAAGAGGAUCGCGGAAAUUUCCCGGUGUAGAGGUGAAAUUUCGUAGAUAUCGGGAGGAACACCGGUGGCGAAGGGCGGGCGAUCUGGGUCGAUACUGACGCUGAGGUGCGAAAAGCGUGGGGAGCAAACA